rnacentral:rRNA from 1 species
CAGGAUGAACGCUGGCGGCGCGCCUAACACAUGCAAGUCGAACGGUUAAAGCACCUUCGGGUGUGUAGUAGAGUGGCGAACGGCUGAGUAACACGUGGGCAACCUGCCCCUCGCACCGGAAUAGCCGGCGGAAACGCCGGGUAAUGCCGGAUACGCCCCAGGGGGGACAUCCUCCCCGGGGGAAAGCCCAGACGGCGAGGGAUGGGCCCGCGGCCUGUUAGCUAGUUGGUGGGGUAACGGCCCACCAAGGCCAUUAUGGGUAGCUGGGUUGAGAGACCGACCAGCCAGAUUGGGACUGAGACACGGCCCAGACUCCUACGGGAGGCAGCAGUGGGGAAUCUUGCACAAUGGGCGAAAGCCUGAUGCAGGCCGACGCCGCGUGCGGGACGAAGGCCUUCGGGUUGUAAACCGCUUUCAGCAGGGACGAGGCCGCGAGGUGACGGUACCUGCAGAAGAAGCCCCGGCUAACUACGUGCCAGCAGCAGC